rnacentral:rRNA from 1 species
GGUCAGGUUCAGCGGGCGUCGCAAGGCGCCCGUGUACUCCUAGAUCCAUCCAAACCUUGUAAGCGUACACUGCAACCAGUUAGACGAUCAGAGAUGGGCACAGUGUUGGACGACGGGAGCAAUCCUUGACUCCUUCACGAAGCAUUUGUUUGCUCGGGUUAGUAGUAGUGCGGUUGAGCUUCGGCUUUUCUCGUGUUGCUGGGCUCGCGGCAAGUGAACUAUCACUGAAUACUGACUGGCGAAAUGAAAAUCGCGCUAGUCGCGUUAGAGACAACGCUAUUGGCCGCAUUUGUGUCUACACGUUCGACUGUUGAGUCUAAGCUCGGCGCUCUCGAAUUCAGACUUGCUGCUAUCAGUGGGGCAACUCCUGGUGCUUGUAUAGCUUCUGUCUAAUCGGGCGUCGACUUGGCUUGGCAUUGUUCGUGGCGUGCAUCGUUAGGAUGCGAAUGCGAGCUAACAAGCAAUGU